rnacentral:tRNA from 1 species
GCGGGAAUAGCUCAGUUGGUAGAGCACAACCUUGCCAAGGUUGGGGUCGUGAGUUCGAGCCUCGUUUCCCGCUCCA